CAGUAGCCGCGGGAAUACAGAGGCCUCAAGCGUUGUUCGGAUUCAUUGGGCGUAAAGGGAGCGUAGGCGGUCGGGUAAGUUGGAUGUGAAAUCCUGGGGCUCAGCCUCAGAACUGCAUUCAAUACUGCUUGGCUAGAGUACUGGAGAGGUGAGUGGAAUUCACGGUGUAGCAGUGAAAUGCGUAGAUAUCGUGAGGAAGACCAGCGGCGAAGGCGGCUCACUGGACAGUUACUGACGCUGAUGCUCGAAGGCCAGGGGAGCAAACGGGAUUAGAUACCCCGGUAGUCCCUGUCUCUUAUAC
rnacentral:rRNA from 1 species